GCAGCCUCGUUUACAACCCCCAGCCUCGUUUACAACCCCCAGCCUCGUUUACAACCCCCAGCCUCGUUUACAACCCCCAGCCUCCUCCCAAAGGUGAAGCCCCCCAGCGAGGAGGAGGCCGCGGAGCAAGACGAUCGCAGCCGCGGUUUCUUCCCAAAGUCACCCGCGAAGAUUUGGAGUGAACUCCAGAGUGUGCUCAACUACGCGAUGGAGACGGGUGAGGGGGCUGGAGAUUGACUGGAGUGAACUCCAGAGUGUGCUCAACUACGCGAUGGAGACGGGUGAGGGGGCUGGAGAUUGACUGGAGUGAACUCCAGAGUGUGCUCAACUACGCGAUGGAGACGGGUGAGGGGGCUGGAGAUUGACUGGAGUGAACUCCAGAGUGUGCUCAACUACGCGAUGGAGACGGGUGAGGGGGCUGGAGAUUGACUGGAGUGAACUCCAGAGUGUGCUCAACUACGCGAUGGAGACGGAGUUCGAAUUCGAAAGCUUCAGUAAGGACAUCUACCGCUCCAUGAUCUCCAUGAUGGACAUCGACCGCUCCGGCGAACUUGGCUUGCACGAGUUCAUCCGACCCUGGACCGACAUCCGCACCUGGAAGAACUGCUUCCAGCUCUCCGACAAGGACGGAUCCUCCAAGUUGUCCUGAGCUCCGCGCGGCGCUGGCGAGCGCGGCUACAGGCUCAACAAGCACAUCUGCGACGCGCUCAUGCUGCGCUACGGCGACAAGGACGGCAACGUUACUUUUGACGACUACAUCAUGUG